ensembl:lncRNA
AUCUCUGUGGACAAAACCACCGCUUCACUGGAGCUCAGGGGGCUGACUCACAAGGACACUGGGCUGUACACUGUGAGCUUCAUCAUCAGGGGUGUAGAAUACCGGGGAGGCACAUCACUGACAGUGUUUGAGAGAAUCUCUGGUGCUGCCAUGACAAUCACUGGUGGCGUCCUGAUAGCAGGUGAGAGUUCUGUCAUCAUCAGAGAGUGGAGAAAGGAUGGCAAUCCUCUGCAUGGAGUUAACAUUGAUGAGCUCAACAGAACAGUUUCCAUCAGCCCAGUAAAGAAAGAAGACAAAGGAAGCUACACAUGUCAAGUCAGCAACCCUGUCAGCUCUGAGACCGCUUCUAAAGGACUGAUUGUCAACUGUGAGUUCAGCAUGUUUUGGACUGAUUCAAGCUAUUACACGUGUAUUAAACUUGGUUGAAAUGUGUUUUGUUACUGGCUAAUAUCUGUGGUUACAGACGGACCAGAGAAAGUAAACAUUACGGGAGAAGGAGCCAUAGAGAUCGGUAGUCCAGUUCAUUUGACCUGUACUGCUGAGUCCUUCCCUGAGAGCACCUACACAUGGGCAUUUAAUGGGACAGAAACAAGUGUGACUGGAGCUUCAUACAUCAAAGAGCCGAGUGAAUAUGAAGACAGUGGAACCUACACCUGCACUGCUCUGAACAGCAUCACCAAACACACAGACAAUGCAGUUUUUGAACUGUCUGUCAAAGCACAGGGGUCCCUUGGUGGAGCAGGUGGAUUGUCAGAUGGGGCUAUAGCCGGAAUAGUAUUAAUGAUCAUCAUAGUGGUUGCAGCUGGGAUUGGAAUUUCCUUCUUUCUAGUGAAGAAAAAAAGGGUG